AUUGGCAGGUGCUCUCUCCUUCCUAUCGUAUAAUUCAGGAUCAGCAGAAUUAAAGUUGUUUGGAUAAAUAGCAUAUGUGUAUGGUUAAUCUCUGUUAUUUGCUGGUUUUCAGAGGUCUGAGUUUUAGGAGUGCAGUUGCAGAAAAUACUGUUAGAAGCUGUGAAUAUCCUUGGGCUUUUGGGAAGUAUUAUUCAUCACGGUGAGUCUGAGUAUUUUCACAAGAACAAGAAACUCCUCCCCAAGGGUACAGCCUGAAUUACUAUGCUGGGCAUAUUCUGGACUUCCAUGACAAAAAGUGAAGGUAUUUUCAUUCCCUGAGUUAUAGCUGAAAUCUGUGUGAAGAACAACCUGAUUCUUUUGUAAGGUUCUUGUCUUGCAGGUUUUUUUUUUAAUGCAACCAGGGAAACCAUCUUUGAACUCUCACCUUUCAACAAGUCACAGGCAUGUUCACCUGACCUGCAUCUGGAAAUGGAGUUGCAGCUCUUCAGACAAAUUAAGGAUAUCAAAAUGCCUGACUUCCAGGAAGUUCUGUACCACUAUACUCCCAUAUAUUACUGAUGUGAUGGCGGUCUGAAAAAAUAGGCAAUGACCUAAUUCCUUAGUUAAUAGAAUUUUUCCUAUGGACUUAUCUGGGGUAGGAAUUUUUUUGGGGAGGGAAAUGAAUUAUGCCAAUAAAAGCAGAGUCUUGUCAGUAAUGUUCA
rnacentral:lncRNA from 1 species